ACAAGGUGCUGCAUGGUUGUCGUCAGCUCGUGCCGUGAGGUGUCAGGUUAAGUCCUAUAACGAGCGCAACCCCUGUCGUUAGUUGCCAGCGAGUCAUGUCGGGAACUCUAACAAGACUGCCGGUGCAAACCGUGAGGAAGGUGGGGAUGACGUCAAAUCAUCACGGCCCUUACGUCCUGGGCUACACACGUGCUACAAUGGCCGGUACAGAGAGCAGCCACUGGGCGACCAGGAGCGAAUCUACAAAACCGGUCACAGUUCGGAUUGGAGUCUGCAACCCGACUCCAUGAAGCUGGAAUCGCUAGUAAUCGCUGGUCAGC
rnacentral:rRNA from 1 species